GGAGAGAUGGCUCAGCGGUUAAGAGCACUGGCUGUUCUUUCCAGAAGUCCUGAGUUCAAUUCCCAGUGACUACA
rnacentral:tRNA from 1 species